rnacentral:rRNA from 1 species
GUCUAUAGCCAUGCCACCCUGAACAUACCUGAUCUUGUCUAAUCUAGGAAGCUAAGCAGGGUUGGGCCUGGUUAGUACUUGGAUGGGAGACUACCUAGGAAUACCAGGUGCUGUAGGUG